GGGAGUACUAUGCCACAUCUUUCCAUCCAUUAACUGGUGAUUGAAUUUGAAGAUCCACCUUCAUUACCUACUGUAAAGACUUUUUUUCAGGACAGUAAAUAUCAUCAGGAGUUGAUUCUAUAUAUCCUGGCCCACCAAAAGGAAUAUUGCAGAAAAUACUUUUCCUGAAGUCAGACAUGCUUCAACAUUUUAAUAGUGAGAGUUGGUACGAGAAGUUUAGAAUGCCACAAGCUCUGGGAUGACUUGGCCCUCUCAUUCUGCCACAGUCCACUGUGAUGAAAGCCCCAGUAAUAUUGGAGAAGAGAGUUGCAAUUGCACUUUACAAGCCGCUUACAGAAGCCACCCAAGAAUGAUGUUCCUUUAAUGUGAGUAGUGAUAUUCUUCUACAAUCUUCUACAGCUCUGUGAUGGUCAGUUUUCUACUUUCUGUGUGCUGGGGUGGAGACAUCACUUCAUGAGAGACCCAUCGAAUCAACAAGUUAAUUAAAAGGGCAGACUUGGUUACUGAACACACUUUGGACUCCCUGGAGGUAGUACCAAAGGAGACCGUUAUGACAAAGGAAAAAUUUGUGGGAUAAAUUCCAAAUAGCAGCUCCACAAAAUGGUAGUUCUGAUGCCUUGCUGCAACGUUCAUGCCCCAAGUGCUCCCUGCAUUGGAUUUACACUUUCUUAACAUGAAUGUUUGGGUUUCUCCGGAUCCUCAAAUUUCCUUCCAUAGUUCAAGGACAUGUAGAUUAGGGGAAUUGAUAUUAUUCUUAUUGGCACAGAUGUGUGUAUGUGUGUGUGUGUCCAUUCUACAAUGGACCAGUGUCCUGUCCAGGUAUUGUUCCAGCUGAAAAUGUAAGGCAUGUGUAACAAACAAUGCAAUGGAUAAUGUUUCAGAACUAUAGGCUGUGCUUUUUCUACAGAAUCAACCCACUACAACCCACUAGGUGUGUGGAUGGCACCGUACAUCAGCAUGUUGGCAUGCUUUUACAGAAAGUUCCACGUAAAGAAAUGAAAAUGUGUUUUUAGCAUAGAUAAAUUAACAUUUGCUAACAUUUUUUUUCUUAGAAUUGGAAUAAAAGUAAUGUGUCACUAGUAAAAUGGAAUGGAAUCUUUAUUUUCAAUGUACUUGUAUUCUGUGCAGAAGUACAACACACCGAGUGUCCAGAAAUGUAUUGCAUGAAGACAAACUGUAAAUUGUAAGAGAUAUAUGUUAUUUUUUUCUCCUCCUACGUGACAUAAAAAAUGUGUAUAUUUGUAAGACUAAUAUGAUGCAUCUACCUGCUAAAAUGUUA